rnacentral:rRNA from 1 species
CUAGCAUGUGCGCGAGUCAUUGGGAUCUAUACGAAACCCAAAGGCGAAAUGAAAGUGAAAGGACGUCCUUGCACGUUUCGAGGGCCGAUGGGUGUUCCAUCCGUGGACGCUCCGCAGGCCCGCGGCGCCCCGUACUCAUUGCGAGUUGGGGCGCACGUAGAGCGUACAUGCUGGGACCCGAAAGAUGGUGAACUAUGCCUGGUCAGGACGAAGUCAGGGGAAACCCUGAUGGAGGUCCGUAGCGAUUCUGACGUGCAAAUCGAUCGUAAGAACUGGGCAUAGGGGCGAAAGACCAAUCGAACCAUCUAGUAGCUGGUUCCCUCCGAAGUUUCCCUCAGGAUAGCUGGCGCUCGUGUGAAGCGAGUUUCAUCCGGUAAAGCGAAUGAUUAGUGGCCUUGGGGUCGAAACGACCUCAACCAAUUCUCAAACUUUAAAUGGGUGAGAUACCCGGCCUGCUUGAGAAAUUAAGUGAGGCCGGGGAAUUCGUGAAUCAGAGUGCCAAGUGGGCCACUUUUGGUAAGCAGAACUGGCGCUGUGGGAUGAACCAAACGCCGGGUUAAAGCGCCCAAAUCGACGCUUAUGGGACACCAUGAAAGGCGUUGGUAACUUA